AUAUACCAUAUGUAAUUUUUCUAUCAUUGAUUAAAUAUACAAUGUCACGUGACGGUAUACACAUGGGUACAAAUACAAAUAAAACUUUAAAAAUUUGAGCACAAAAAGAAACUAAUGUAUGGGUACAAAUUAAAAAUGAAAAGAAAAUUGGUACAAAUUAAAAAAUAUUUGCAAAUUAAAAAUAGGUACAAACUAAAAAUAAAAAUAUAUGAUAAAAAAUUUAGCCAUAAAUAUAAAUAUACUAAUUGUAACAUUUUUAACACUAAAUGAAUAUAUUUAAAAAUAAAAAUAUUUUAUUAUUCAAAUAAUUAAUGAUGUUAUUAAUACCCAAGGAUCUUGAUCAAAAAUUGAAAAUGAAUAGAAUUUUAAUCAAUGGAGUAACAAAAAGAAAGAUGUGAACCUAAUUUUCCCUAUAUUUUAUUUUCUAAGUAUCUCUUGAAUUGCCACUCAGUACUACGGUCUAAUGGUAUUCAUCUUCACUUGGAAGUGAGAGGUUUUAGGUUCGAAUCUCGUGGAUGACAAAUUCAAUACCAAAUUAGGUUGCCCAUUGUGUGGGUUAGUCGAAUUCCCCCUUCCCCUAGUGUAAAAUAUUGAUGUACUCAAAAAAAUUAUCUCUUGAAUUAAGAUUCAGGAAGAAAUAAGGUCUAAGUUUCCUCGUCUUUCUAGAUUUAGGUUAAUUGAUUUCCUUGUUCAAUUAGAAUUAAUGUCUUUCUUGUUUUGUAUUAGCCUUCAAUCUUAUUUUCUUAUAAAACUUUCUUAUAAAGAAAAAUGAAAUGUGUGAGAUUAGGUGAAAAUUUUGAAAAACUUUGUUAAGCAAAUGAUAUAACCAAAUGGUAAGAUGGGGUAGCUAGCAAUUUGGUAUUUUAGGCUAUAGGUUUGUUUUAUAUAUUUUAGGUUAUGGUAAGGAUAUUUGAGGUUUAUUUCCUUUUUUAUUAGGGUUUAACAUUGCUUUCCUGUUUGUUUUAGGAUUAUUUAUUAUAAAUACAUCUCUAGGAACUCAAUAGAAUCAAGUCUUCCCAAGAUGUAUUUUUUUAUUACAUUGGCGACUUUGUAGUGUUCAUGUUUCAUAUGUGUUUAUGAAAAAAUAUUUUAAUUUUUUGUAUCGUUUUUUUUUUUACCCCCUUUGAAUUUUUAAUAUACAAUGUGUGAUCAUAUUAUGUGAAAAGUCUGAAAUACUUUGUUUAAACCAAGUGGUAGGAUGGAGUGGUCGGAUUUAUCCUACAGCAUACGGAAAAUUAAAUAUAUUGAUCAAUUAUUAGUUAAUGAUGCUUCAAAAUAUUUGCAAGCUGUUAAUUAAGUGGAUUUUAAGCAAGCAUGCAUGCAUACAUGCAUAUAUUCAUCAGUAAAUAGAUACUAGGACUUGGGAAUCCUCUAUUCACAUGCAUAUUGAUAGAUUCGAGACUGAUCAAACAAAUUAUCAGAAGCCUCUCAUAUAUAAUCCCACAAACAGACCCUAUUGAACCUUUAGUGAAUGUGAACUUCUAAACAAUAUAUAAAAUAAUUGAUAACGCCCCUUGGUUUCAAAAAUAGAUUAUUAUUCGAAUAUUAUAGCAUAAGUCUAAGAUUUUUUGUAUCUUUUUUUUUUUUAAAGGAGGACAACAGAUGAUAAGUCAUGGUUAUCCACCCCUUCCGAGAGCCAAGAAGAAUCAUAAAAACACCCGAAAGUCUAAGAGUUUUUAGGCUGGCCAUUAAUUUUAAUAUGAUAAUUAAUUCAUUUGAAUGUUUGGAGCCACAAUUUUUAGUUUUAUUCAAGUAAUUGGUUGAAUUAUUGAUAAGUUGUUCAUAGUGUUGGAAUGACUAUUGGUUAAUAGAAUUGUUAUUAACUGAGACUUAAUAUUGUGAAGUUAUAAUUCAUCUUGAUGCUUAUGAAUCAAGUUGUGGUUUGAUUAAGCAAUUGGUUGAAUUACUACUUUAUUACUCAUUAUGUUGAUGUAAUUUGAAGGUUAACCAAGUUUGUUGUUAAAAUGAAGCUUAACAUUAUUGUUGUUAAGUUUGGCUUUUGAAUUUGCUCUGUCAGUUUGAUUACAAUGUUGAUUAUGCAAAUUGGAUAUCAGUAAUCUUAGAAUCUGUUCUGCAUUAUGUUUUCAGCCCUUGUUCUUUGGUUCUAUACUUUAAAAUGCAUUGGC
rnacentral:lncRNA from 1 species